rnacentral:rRNA from 1 species
GACGAACGCUGGCGGCGUGCUUAACACAUGCAAGUCGAACGGAAAGGCCCUGCUCUUGUGGGGUGCUCGAGUGGGGCACGGGUGAGUAACACGUGAGUAAACUGCCCUUGACUGUGGGAUAACUUCAGGAGACAGGGGCUCAUACCGGAUAGGAGCUACUGCUGCAUGGUGGGGGGUGGAAAGUGUCGGCGGUUGGGGAUGGACUCGAGGCUUAUGAGCUUGUUGGUGGGGUAGUGGAUUUCCAAGGCUUGGACGGGUAGCCGGCCUGAGAGGGAGACCGGCCACAGUGGGACUGGGAUACGGCCCAGAGUGAUACGGGAGGCAGCGGUGGGGAAUAGUGCACAAUGGGCGGAAGCCGGAUGCAGCAACGCCGCGUGCGGGAUGACGGCCUUCGGGUUGUAAACCGCUUUCGCCUGUGACGAAGCGUGAGGGACGGUAAUGGGUAAAGAAGCACCGGCUAACUACGU